rnacentral:tRNA from 1 species
AGGCGCGUAGCUCAGUUGGUUAGAGCGCCUCGGUGACAUCGAGGAGGUCGUUGGUUCAACUCCAAUCGCGCCUACCA